CUGCUUGUUUUGAUCGCACCACCAAAUCAACGAUCUCGAUUGACUCGCUCUCUUCAAGCAACCCAGAGGUAAAGGUCUGAUAGAGAAAGAAGGCGACGUCCAUGGCGCCUACGACACUGACGGCUCUUGCAGGCGAGAAGACUCUUCAGUCGAGCUUCGUCCGUGACGAAGAUGAACGUCCCAAGGUGGCCUACAACGACUUCAGCAACGAAAUUCCUGUCAUCUCUCUCGAAGGAAUCGAUGAAGUUGGCGGCCGUCGUGAUGAGAUUUGCAGGAAAAUCGUGGAGGCCUGCGAGGACUGGGGGAUUUUCCAAGUUGUUAAUCACGGUGUUGAUUCUAAUCUCAUUUCGGAGAUGACUCGCCUGGCUCGGGAAUUCUUCGCUCUUCCGCCGGAGGAGAAGCUCCGCUUCGACAUGUCUGGUGGCAAGAAAGGCGGCUUCAUCGUUUCCAGCCAUCUUCAAGUAAUUCUCUGAAUUCUUUUGCUCCACUUCAUACCUUCAUCAUCACAUGGAGAGUUGUUCUGAAUUUUGUUUAGUUGAAAAACAGAACCCCUGUUUAGAAACUACCCUUGGGUCUUGGCCUGAUUUUUCAUGUUUUACCUUUCUACAAGAAAAUGUAUUUUCUUUCAUGAGGAACCCAAAUGGUUACUUUCAAAAUUAAUUGCAGGGAGAAGCAGUGCAAGACUGGCGCGAGAUCGUAACCUACUUCUCCUACCCACUACGAACCAGGGACUACUCGAGGUGGCCAGACAAGCCAGAGGGGUGGAGAUCGGUGACACAGGAGUACAGCGAGAAGCUCAUGGGGUUGGCCUGCAAGUUGCUGGAGGUGUUGUCUGAGGCCAUGGAUUUGGACAAGGACGCUUUGACCAAUGCUUGUGUGGACAUGGACCAGAAGGUUGUGGUCAAUUUCUACCCCCAAUGCCCACAGCCAGACCUCACCCUCGGACUCAAGCGGCAUACCGAUCCGGGAACCAUCACGCUGCUCCUUCAGGAUCAGGUGGGAGGGCUCCAGGCCACUAGGGAUGGCGGAAAGACUUGGAUCACCGUUCAACCUGUUGAAGGAGCUUUCGUCGUCAACCUUGGCGACCACGGUCAUGUAAGCAUCAUAACCGGCGAAAGGCUGAAGCUAAUCUUUUCUUUGUCUUUGUCUUUUAAUUUAAUUUUAUAGAUAAGGUAGAAAUUCUCUUGUUCAUUGGUUUUCUUUAUGUGGUCAACAUCCACAAUAGUCCUUCCUGAUAUGGUAUUCAAAUUCAUGCUACCCGAACCCGAAAGAGAGAGUGAUUAUUGGUUUGGUAUGGUGCAGUAUCUGAGCAAUGGGAGGUUCAAGAAUGCUGAUCACCAAGCGGUGGUGAACUCCAAUCAUAGCAGACUGUCCAUAGCAACAUUCCAAAACCCCGCACCGGAGGCAAC
rnacentral:lncRNA from 1 species